GUAAGCCUUCCUUUGAGUGUGGGUGUUGGGUAUUGUGUCCAGCAGUGGGGACAGUGACUGAGACAGUCACAGUCACGGAAAGCUGUCACAGCACCACCCUUUGAGGGUCUAAGUUUAGCUCCAGGCAGAUUCCUGGUCAGCCCGUGAAGCCAUUAGUUUUAAACCGGUUCACUUUCAGUGUACCGUGGUCUCCGCUUCCCUCCCCAUGAGAUCACAUUCUUUGGCCUCACACCUACUGCCACCACCACCACCAAGUCUUCCCUUGAAAAAUCUAAAUCGGAAAGAAAACAGCUGAGUGACACCAGAAAAUUAAAUACAUAAAACCAUGUAUCUUCCCUCUGGAGUCUACCCCAUGGCCAAUGCUGGUUUGCUUCGACUGCUCCUUUCCAGCAGGGAAGUCUGUGCAGGUAUGCUGCUUUAAACAAGGUGGACUUAGCCAAGGCAGCGGAUGAUCUUGUGUUAAGGCGGAGUGCAAACACAUCUUGCCUGCUUUGUGAGAGGUUUCCAGAGAACUCGCAGGUGCAGCAGAACCACGGCUGGGCGGAGGGGCCACUGGGCCCUCUAGGAACUUCUCUCAAAUAUACCACAGGAGGCACUGCUCCCUGCAGAGUUCACGUGGGACGUCUUUAACUGUCCGCCAGUCUGUUUUCCCCAGAAUCAAACAUCUGCCCAAGUCCAAGAACAUCUCAAGAAGCCAAAAUAAAUACAGAAACCUUUUCCCAUAGCUCACCAGUUGAUUUUCCCAGCUAUAAAAAGAUGUUUCAACUGACAGGAAAUAGUUCCCUGACUGACACAGGUCUCCUGAGAGGAAGUGUGACUUCUUGUCCACUAACAUUUCAUGGUGGCUGAGAAUCAGCCUGCCUUCCUCUGAGGGCUUCCUAGGGCAACCAGUUGUUCAGGUCAGGAGUACCAUGAUAUAAUCUGAACCCAAUGAUCCUUGUAAAUACUCCAAUUCCAGGGAAAUCCUCAUCUUUGCCCUAAUUACAGCUUUUUUUUUUUUUGGUACUGGGGAUCGAACUCAGGACCUUGCACCUGCAAGGCAGGUGCUGGAACCACUGAGCUAAAUCCCAGGCCCACAAAUUGUUUUAAUUAACUCAAGGAAUAAGGCCCAGGCCUAUUUGGAGAUAUAUUCUCCCUUACAGCUUCUAGAAGUUCAAGAGGCAAAAUAUUUUUCAACAUUAGGUGAUCCAUUCCAAAUUAUUAAUUUCAUCUAACGAAGUAUGAUCGUUUUCUGUUGCUGCUGUAACCAAUGACCACAAAUUUAGGGACUUAACACAAAUUUUUGCCAUGACAGUUCGGUAAUGGUCCAAAAUCUCACGCCCGCCUGCCAAUGGCUGGGCUAUUUCUUCUGGAAGGCCCGGGAGAAUGUGUCCUGGUUUGGCCUGACUGGUACCACGUCCCUCCAACUCUGUCCACCCGUCCCUCUCCCUCCUGUGGCCCCUGUACCACCCUUGUAAGUCCACUCAUGAUUGCAUUUAGGGGCCACACAAGUACUACAGCACAGCCUCCCCACCUCACCCAGUCUCCUCUGCAAAGCCUCUGUUGCCACACAAAGUAACGCUCAAGGUUCUGGGAUUAUAAGUAUGAGUCCUGGGCGGGGAGGUCUAUAACUUGCCUAAUACAUAUGGGUUUGAAUUCAUUUUAAAUAAUGUGGUCCAGCCUCUACUGCUUUUAAAGUAAUUUCUUAUUUUAUACGUGACGCCGUGGGCAAGCUGACGAAGCCCUAUUUCUUUGUCUAGCAGGCUAUGCUACUGUAAUUGCUAACUGGAAAGCCUGUCCCUCAUCGGACUCUCGUUAGUCUCGUCUAGGACCACAAGACCGCCUACCGUAUUUCCUGCGUUUCCCUGGUCAAUGGUUUCAGUUCCCAGAAAAUGAAUCUUAACAGUCAGAAUUUUUGAUUGCCAGAGUAACCUUGCUUGAACUGGUUUAAAUUUUUUAAAAAAGUGUUGGCUCACAAAACUGAAAAUUGCAGUGGUGUUGAUGGGCUUGGGCACAAAUAGAAGCAAAUACUCAGUUAUGUCCUCAGGAACAUUUUGAAGUCAGUGUUUAUGCUGGGGGUGGACCACAGGGCCUCACGCAUGCCAGGCACAGGUUCUACACGGAGCACCCAGCCCCUCAUCUUCAGGAAUUUCCAAUCCGUCCCUUCCCUUCAACCUGCUUCGCUUAGUCUUGGUUUUUUCUCAGCCGAAGGCUAAUGCUCUAAUGCUCAUAAGUGUUGCAAAACAACAUCUCAGAAGUGCUGAUCUUCUAAUCUACCAACUUAGCAACCCAACAGCUGGAGGCAAUGCCUUUCUCUCAGAAGUUGCAGCAAAGGUCCCAGGGGUGUUGUCCCUGACCCAGGGGAAGUCACAGCACAUUACCGGCCCUGACGCCAUGGCUUCUGGGGUAUGUAUGUGCUCUGACUGUCGAAGCCUGAGCUCUAUGUCUCCUUGAAACCUAGGAGGAGCCCUUGUCCCAGGCCACAUAAGGGAGGCUUGGUCUCCCCAAAAUAAAGGUAAACUCAGCAGAAAGAGAAGUUGAUGGUGGGCCAAACAAAUUAACAUGUCUGCUACACUAGUUUCAGACCCAGGUGCUGCCUGUACAAGGAACAUCUAAUAGUGACGAAUUUCUCGAGGCAAGACUGUGCUUGCCCCUUACGCUAGACCCUUUCCCUCCAUCCUUGAGUAAUGCAGCACUACUCAGCUGUGUGUGGAUUCUCAGACACCAGAGUCGGGGAAAAUGAUCUCUUCUUAUGCCCAGGGCUGAGCCAAGAAAAGCCUGUUUCCUUGCUGAAAUAACCUGACACUGCAGGAUUGCAAAACCACGUCACAAAAGUCUCAACUCAGAUCUGUAAACCAUGGGAACCCUGAAAGAAAUGAUUGGUUGGAUUGUCCAGAGAUUACAUGACUACAAUGAAAGUGUAAAGUUUAGAUAGCACAUUCUCACUUUCGCCAAAACAGAACACUAAUGUGACCCAAUGUUUCUUAUUUCCAAAAAGCCCCUGACUAAAUCAAGUAAAAAGAAACCAACAAAGCUUUCCAUGUCCCGGCUUGUAACAUUUCUCUUCAUAAAUGAG
ensembl:lncRNA